UUAGGAGGCACGAGGGAAGAGGUAGGCAGGGCCUGCUAGUGUCUGAGAGGACAAAAUGGACACCAGAGGAAAAAGCCAGGACAACGGAGGAGAAGGCCUGGCAGUAGCAGAAUGGCGAAGAGCUGUGGAGGGGUGUCUCUGAAGCUGGUGAGGUUUUGGAAGAGAUUACCUGUGACAGCGACAAAGAGGACUGCAAGGCUUAAAGAAGCCAGCUUUUAUUUCUAAAUAAAAGGUUUUUUGUAUUCAUCUCCUGUGGAGUCCCUUGCUUUAUUCAAAAACAGGGGUGUCUCUGAAGCUGGUGAGGUUUUGGAAGAGAUUACCUGUGACAGCGACAAAGAGGACUGCAAGGCUUAAAGAAGCCAGCUUUUAUUUCUAAAUAAAAGGUUUUUUGUAUUCA